ACGCUAACACUCUAAACUGAGGUGUUAAACAUGGUAAACAUUAUACCUGCUAAACAUCAGCAUGUAAACAUUGUCACUUUGAGCAUCUUAGCAUUCUGACAUUAGCAUUCAGCUUAAAGCCCCGCUGUGCCUAAGUACAGGUGUACUUGGCCGUUGGACUUUUGGAAGAGUGUGAUGCGAAGACGUGUCUGUGUGAGUUGAAAAUAUUUCAGCUUGUGCUUAUCCUGGGCUUUACGAAUCUGCUUCAUAAAUGUAGAGAGAUGUGAGGAAAAAAGAAGAGAGACUGGAGGGAAAUAUAAGUACAAACCUGACCUUCUGGGCAUCCUCAGUGUCCCAGGCUGACGCCCAGCGGUCCAGGGCCUAUCAUUCCCCCUGCUGUAUGACAGCCUUAAAGGCCCACACUGAAGAACCCAUUGUUUCCUGCUUUGAACAGAAUGAAACCACAUUUCCACAUUGUAAAAUACAAUUGUAGGGAUUUGUGGGAUGAGGGAUUUACCGCCUCUGAGAGCCAAAAUGAAGAUGAAGAUGAUGCAUCAUGAUCCUCCAAGCCGAAAUCCUCACAUUUACACAUGGUUUUUGCUUUAAAAUUCUUACUUUACAACUCAGAUUUUUAAUUUUCAACUAAAUUGUCUGUUUACUUUGUUUUUAAUACAUAUACAAUAUUAACAAUAUUAACUAUGUCUUUGUAGGACUCUUUAAACUAAAAUAAGAAUUUUGACCAAGUCUUACAUAUGCAGUCUUGGUGCCAUUGGUACAUAGACAUACAUUUACACAAACCUUGCAAAUCUGCGCAGGAUUUUCACAUGAAGAAAAAUAUAAUAAAGCCUUAAUGAUUAGAAAAAUAAAUGUCUAGACCCUUAAUUUACUAGCAGUUUUAACAUUUUCAAAGUCUUUUUUGCUGUAUCAUGCCUUGAAGCAUAGGUCUGGUGAUAUUCUAUAUUUUUCUUAUGAUGAGUAAAUCCCAUGAAAAGACCUAAACCAACAGUGAAUUGAUCCUACUAACAAGUAUUUUCUGUGCAGCCAAAACCUGAAAUGGCAUACGCCUCUGUGCUGUAGAGCUCUGACGUUACUGUUUAAAUUAUUUAAAACACGUAAGUGAGACACACCGUUGCACUGGGUGCCAUGUUCCUUCAUUACAUUACAACACAGGCAUUGUGGUUUAUUUUGAGUCCACACACACACACAGUCCUGAGACCUUGGACCUUUCAAGUCAUUGGAAGAUCCUGUGUGGUGUCCUGGAGUUAUUUAUAUGAUAGGCGGGUUAGUAAACGCCUCCGAGUUCAAGAUGAGUCAUCAAAAAUAUUGUAACGUUUUACGACAAGAAAAUGUAAUUUUCAUUUCACUGUCUUUGAUGAACAAAAUAAUAAAAGUGAAAUGCAAUACCAAUAAUUGGCCAGCAGAUGUCGCCAUUUGACUAUAAACUGCUUUGAAAUAAUGAACACAUUUGCAACACAACUGCUUCAUAGUGAUUCAGUGUUUCAGGU